AUUGAACGCUGGCGGCAGGCCUAACACAUGCAAGUCGAACGGAUCGGCGGACGGGUGAGUACUGGCUAGGACUCUGCCUGGUAGUGGGGGAUAACGACCGGAAACGGGCGCUUAACCCUCAUACUCUCAUCAGAGUCUAGGUCGGAUUAGCUAGUUGGUGGGGUAAAGGCCUUCAAAGGCGACGAUCCGUAACUGGUCGGAGAGGAUGAUCAGUAACACUGCAACUGAGACACGGUCCAGAUUCCUACGGGAGGCAGCAGUGGGGAAUAUUGGACAAUGGGAGAAAGCCUGAUCCAGCCAUGCAGCGUGUGUGAAGAAGGUCUUCGGAUUGUAAAGCACGUUAAGUUGGGAGGCGUUACCAACAGAAUAAGCACCGGCUAACUUCGUGCCAGCAGCCGCGGUAAUAC
rnacentral:rRNA from 1 species